AGAAACUUAGGUUAAUAUACCAAACCAAGGACCUUCAAAGCCCUAAAUAUGAGCC
rnacentral:tRNA from 1 species